ensembl:lncRNA
CAGCAUUCAGCAUUCAGCUAUAGUGUUGAAGCCAAUGUGAGGACCCCUGUAUAUGCUGAGCUCUACGGAAAAUUAAGCAAAAUAGAGAGGUACAGCAUUUAGAAAUGCUAGCAGUGGGGUAAAGAAAAGAUCAUGGGAUUUGGGAUUGCACAGAGUCCAGUGGUGCACUGAUUUUGCUGAUUAAACUGAUAAAUAAUGAACUCAAAAUGUUUUAGGCAGCUGUUAGUGUCAGAGAUCAGAUUAAUCUUCAGCAUGAAAGAGAGAAGAUAUUCAAGUUUACAGCACUCCGGAGCAGGAUUUGAAUAAAAUAGACGAAAGGCUUUUGACUUCAAUGAAUUAUAGAAGUGGACAGAGACAUUUUUUAUGUGUGACCCACUGCUGAUGGAAGUUAAAGGUUCAUUGUAGGGGUUGGAAGGGACAUCUGUAGAUCAACGAGUACAACUUUGCCUGCUAAUGCAGGUUCCCUACAGUAGGUUGAACUGGAAAGCAUCCAGACAGCAUAUGAAUAUCUCCAAAGAAAGAGACUCCACAUUUUCUCUGGG